CCUACGGGGGGCUGCAGUGGGGAAUAUUGGACAAUGGGGGCAACCCUGAUCCAGCCAUGCCGCGUGUGUGAAGAAGGCCCUCGGGUUGUAAAGCACUUUCAGUGAGGAAGAACGCCUGGUGGUUAAUACCCAUCAGGAAAGACAUCACUCACAGAAGAAGCACCGGCUAACUCCGUGCCAGCAGCCGCGGUAAUACGGAGGGUGCGAGCGUUAAUCGGAAUUACUGGGCGUAAAGCGCGCGUAGGUGGCUUGAUAAGCCGGUUGUGACAGCCCCGGGCUCAACCUGGGAACGGCAUCCGGAACUGUCAAGCUAGAGUGCAGGAGAGGAAGGUAGAAUUCCCGGUGUAGCGGUGAAAUGCGUAGAGAUCGGGAGGAAUACCAGUGGCGAAGGCGGCCUUCUGGACUGACACUGACACUGAGGUGCGAAAGCGUGGGUAGCAAACAGGAUUAGAUACCCUGGUAGUC
rnacentral:rRNA from 1 species